GCCCGUUAGAGAUAAAUCAUAACCCAAAUCGACUAAUUGCAUGUCAAAAUUGUCACAUGUAGUUUAACUAAUAGUAAAGGGAAAAUAAGAAGGAUUACCUUCCAAAGACCAUCACUUGCCAACACAAGGAGAUCAGUUUUGGUAUCCACAAUUGUAUCUUGAAUAGCAGGAUCAGAUCUCAAAUGGGAUUUCAGGCUUUUGUCUCCAAAUGCACGAGAUACCGCUAGUUGUCCGUUCACCCGAGGAACAUCCCCUAAUAAAAAGAAAAAAAAUAUAUAUAUAAAAUAAGCAAAAAAAUUAACCUAUGUUAAAGUCUUUAGAUGAUGGAAUGUAACUGGAAUUAUGUUAUAAACUGAUAAAUGAUAAAGAUGCCCAAAAUGACAACUUUACCUCUAGUUGAAUGACAACAACUUUACUUAAGGAAUGGAAUAAAUUACUGUUUUUGUCAUAAACAUCAUUCUUAUUAGAAAAAUUACAAAGAAAUACAAUGAUUUGCAAAAUGAAUAUAACUUUCAUACUCAUAUUUGACACGCAAAUAAAUUGUAAAAAAAAAAAAAAAAAACCGGAAAAAAAUGUGCUCCGGUAAACUAGAGGUGGACAAAUCGGGUUUUUUUUUUCUUUCUUUUUUUUGGAAAAAAAGAACGGUUAUUCAAAAACCGGUUCAGUAUGAUGAGAACCUAAACCGGUACAAACCGGGUUUAAAACUUUUUCUUUUUGUGUUAAACAUAUGAUAGAAAAAAAAGGAAAUUACACCGGCAACAAGCUGCACCGCUACCCUUAAAACCGGUUUGGGCCAAAAAAAAUUGGUUUAAACGGGUUUUUUACAACCAGUUCGGUAUCUAAACCGGUUACAAAGAUAACGAACAUGAACCGGUCACAAAUCAGGCCCAAACCGGUUUUUAGAAAAAAAAAAUGAUUCUGUUUUUUUUUUUUUUUUUAUCGGUUUCAAAUCUAAAAGCGUUUUUUUUUGCCCAUGUCUACGGUCAACCAACCCAACCCGUACCACAAAACUGUUAGGCUUGACCCAAACGGGCCACUCCCAUUUUGACCCGUUAUGUUUUUUUAUCGGUUUCAAAUCUAAAAGCGUUUUUUUUUUUUGCCCAUGUCAACGGUCAACCAACGCAACCCGUACCACAAAACUGUUAGGCUUGACCCAAACGGGCCAGUCCCAUUUUGACCCGUUAUGUUUUUUUAUCGGUAAAAAUCUAAAAGCGGUUUUUUUUGCCCAUGUCUACGGUCAACCAACCCAACCCGUACCACAAAACUGUUAGGCUUGACCCAAACGGGCCAGUCCCAUUUUGACCCGUUAUCCAACCUGUCCGUUUUGCAACGUCUAAUUGUAAUAUCAUGAUUUGGGGACAAUGCGAACCUCGUUUAAGAUAUUAUCAAACAGGUGUUUUUGAAGAUACGAAGGCACACGAUCUCCCGAAUGGCCAUCGUAGAUAGCGAAAAGGCCGAGUUCAUGGUGAUCUCGUUCCACAAACCUAGCAACAUGAUAAUCCUCCAUUGGAUGAUUAGCUUUUCCUUUGACUAAGUCAAAACCGAAUUUGAUAUCACCCUCAUGGUUUUUUCCCUUACCAGACUUAUAUGAUGUUGGGCCUCUUCUCAACUAUGAACACAAAUACAAACCAAAAAUCAUUAGUAAAAACAAGAUAACAAAAUACACAUGUUUUUUUUUUUGAGUAAACUGGCAAAAAGGUUUGGUCGCUUUUGCCACUUUAAUCCGAACCUCAAACCUUUUGAAUCUGGGUCCAUGUGGUUUCAGUUUUGUUCCACCAUGUUUUAAAAGAACAAAAGUUACUCUUUACUAAAAGUUUUUAACGCUCUACCAUCUCUUUUAUUUUUUACUAGGGGUGUUUACAGUCCGGUUUAGCUGGUUUUCACGAAAAUAAAAGGCCAAAAUGCUAACUAAAAACGGUAAACCAAAUUGGCUGGGUUGGUUGGUUAGGUCGUAUCGGUCAAACAAGCGAAAGCCGCUCGAUUUGACACCCUAAAAAUGGUAAAAGAUGGUUCAUGAGUAUUAUAAAAACCGGUAAAUGAACCGCCCGAUUUGAUCCAAACCAUGAACCGUACCGUAUAAACCUCAAACUAACCGAACUAACCGAUUUGAUCCGGUUUAAACAAUUUAAGACUACUUUUAACAAACAAAAAAAGAUGGUAAACAAAAGUAAAUAAAACUAACUUUGAUCAACCAAACAAUUAUAUAAUCAAAACAUACAUAAACAAAUAAAUCAAUUAUAAAAAGAAAAAUUGCAGAAUUAUGAACCAAAAAAAAAAAAAGAAGAAGAAUUACCUUGAAACAGCAUAAAUUAUCCAUCAAAUAAUAAUAAUCUGGAAACAAGAAACUAUUUUUUUGUCCUCCAGCAAGCAAAGCCACUUCAAAAAACAAUAGGAUUUGUGGAUGAAAUAUAAUAAUUAAAUUAAAAAAAAAUGGUUGUGU
rnacentral:lncRNA from 1 species